UGUGGGAGCGAGCCUGCUCGCGAUGGCGGCAUGACAGUCGACUUUUGUGUCAUCUGAUACACCGCUAUCGCGAGCAGGCUCGCUCCCACA
rnacentral:misc_RNA from 1 species